rnacentral:sRNA from 1 species
GAGGGGUGAGGAAUGCUACAGGCUGAGGAAACAGCACAUGCAAAGGCUGGAGAGGAGUGAGCAUAGCCAGUUAGGGAAGUUCAAGGAGUUACAUUCAGGUCACUGGCAGUAGGAAGCUAUGGAAACUUUUUAGCAAAAGCAGGGGGAUGACCUGUUUGGUUUUGAGUCUUAUGAAACUCCCUCCAGCAGCUGUGUGGAGUUAGGCUUGGAGGGGCAGGAAUAGAGGGAGAGCACUGGUUAGGAGGCUCGUGUAGUAAUCUGGGCAAGGGUGGUGUUGGGAGCUGGAGAGGAGUAAACAGGCCCAGGCUCUCUGCAUGCUGACAAUGCCUUCUUCCCUGCAGCCUAACAAAAGACAUGACUGGGAAAGAAGACAACUACCGGGGCCCGGCCGUGCGAGCCCUCUGCCAGAUCACUGAUAGCACCAUGCUGCAGGCUAUUGAGCGCUACAUGAAACAAGCCAUUGUGGACAAGG